GACGAACGCUGGCGGCGUGCCUAAUACAUGCAAGUCGAACGCUGAAGGAGGAGCUUGCUUCUCCGGAUGAGUUGCGAACGGGUGAGUAGCGCGUAGGUAACCUGCCUGGUAGCGGGGGAUAACUAUUGGAAACGAUAGCUAAUACCGCAUAACAGUAGAUGUUGCAUGACAUUUGCUUAAAAGGUGCAAUUGCAUCACUACCAGAUGGACCUGCGUUGUAUUAGCUAGUUGGUGAGGUAACGGCUCACCAAGGCGACGAUACAUAGCCGACCUGAGAGGGUGAUCGGCCACACUGGGACUGAGACACGGCCCAGACUCCUACGGGAGGCAGCAGUAGGGAAUCUUCGGCAAUGGACGGAAGUCUGACCGAGCAACGCCGCGUGAGUGAAGAAGGUUUUCGGAUCGUAAAGCUCUGUUGUAAGAGAAGAACGAGUGUGAGAGUGGAAAGUUCACACUGUGACGGUAUCUUACCAGAAAGAGACGGCUAACUACGUG
rnacentral:rRNA from 1 species